rnacentral:lncRNA from 1 species
AACCAUUCACCAAAAUCAUCAUCCAAAUCAUACUUUACAUUAUCCAAAUAACAUUUUACAUUUAUUAAUAUACAUUAAGAAAAAUAAAAGGCAAUGUACAUGAAGCACAACCUACACAUGCAAAUGACAGUAGAACCAAAACAAAUAUACACGCCAGCUGCAUACAAGCCAAUGCUAAAUGACAUGAAACGGAAAUCAAUGCCAACAGCAGCUGAUACACUGCAGAACAAACCAAUAACAAC